CCUCAACUCCGGCCCACCUAUCAACCAGCCAAACGAUCCGAAGACACAAUAGCUCUGCCGCUGCUCUAUUUAUCUUCCUGUAAGUGUUCUUCGACAAUGGCAUUAUUAGCACAAAACAUAGUGCUUGAGAAGUUCAACAGUUGAAGAAGCUAUUGCCAGAGAGGCAAAAGUUGCAACAGUGGCUACCAUUGUUAUUAUAACCUACCACGCCAAUCUAUGUGACAAAUAAAAUUAACAAAUUCUUGGAAAUUACAACCUACAUGGGUAUGGCUCAACUUGAUCAAAGAAUCACCAAAAUGUCAUUUUCUCUCUACAAAAAAUUGUAAUCAAUAAGCAUAUUUAUACCAUUAAGCAAGUCCAUUACAUUCACACUCGCAGCUAGUGAUUCGCAAACUUGAGUAAAUAUUACCUGAGUGAGCACCAUAGAAUAAGUUGUACAUGCAGUAACAUCACAUUCUGGGUGAGUUAUCAUCGGACAACAGUGCAGUGCAUAAUUAAAGAACUCUAUUCUGAAGGCAUGUAUAUUAAACAAUAAAACCCCUUUACUCACAUCUUCCAUAAAAACACGAAUAAGAUAAGUACAAAAAUAAAAUUGAUACUAUAUAUAGUAUAUAAAACAACUUAAGCAGACAAAAAAAUCUUAAACAACGACAUGAGAAAGAGAGAAUUUUAAAAUCCAAUAAACACCUACCUCGCCAUUUGGUAGGGAAACCUCCAGCGCCCAUGUUAAUACAGAGUCUACAGCUAGACAAUAACCUGUCAAAACUCCAAUUUAACAAAAAUAGCAAUCUCUUAUGUAAGAUAAUUAGGAAAUGACGG
rnacentral:lncRNA from 1 species